UCCCUACCUCUCUGCCUGAUCCCAUUUUUAUUUUGCCUACAUGCCGUGCAUCGUAUCAGUUCCUGGUAGUCCAUGUCAGUAAGGACGUGUCUUUGGUUUGAAUUGCUGGUACGUUGAUGGUGGCGUGCUGAGCAGAGGAUGUGAAACAUUUAGACCGCUGAGGCCUUUCCGGUCUUUGAUGAUCUAAAAAUCGAGCUUUUUAAAACUGAUGCCUGGCAUGCCAUCAAUCAACGUACUGCUUUGUUCUUGUGUAUCUGAGAUGCAGCUCUAUUACAGUGGUAAUAAUGUAGAGUAGUUGCAUAUGAACCGUUUGUCAGCUGAGCACGUGAUGUUACAAGGAGAUGCUACUGAGAUGUCCCAUCGUUGAAGUAUCUUAAACCGAGCUUUUUAAAACUGAUGCUUGGUUCAUUCGGUGCUAAGUUAGAUUACGAGUAUCGUUCUUGGUUGUUGGUCAUCCUACAUGUUGGUCAUCUGUUUGUAAAUUGAAAUCUAUUGCACACUGAAUCUAGCAGUGAUCCUAUCCAUGACAGUUUGUCAUGUGCGAUGUUGAUUUUCUGUUUAUGUUUUAUGAUGGGCUGGUCAGAUGAUGCUGAAACAACAUAUUCCUGAGAUUUUCUUUGAGGAAUACAAAAUCGAGCUUUUUAAGACUGAUGGCUAGCCUGUCUUGUGAUUAUUUUCUUCUUUGUACCUGUUCCUUCUAGCAGGCAAUGCGAGUAAUGUGUUAAGUUCAGUCCUCCUCACAUUUUUUAACCAGUAUGGCAUGAUUGUAGCUUAUGUUCCAAUUGGUUUUAACCAGUUAGCAUCUUAUCUUACCAAGAAUGAAGCAUUUGCAAUUAGUAGAUGGGCUGAGCAAAUGAUGAUGCAUAUGAUUAGUCUGAUCCAUUUGAUGUUUCAAAAUCGAGCUUUUUAAACCUGAUGCUCAUCACAAAUCAGUUUUCUGUUAAUCUUGCUGUGCAUUUUUUCGUUGAAAUAAAAUUUUGAGAUGAACUCAGUCUAACUACUUGUUCUUGGUCUGGGAAAACAGGUACCAACACCUGGGAUCGGUUUGAGAUGCGGGUGCACAAGAGGGUGAUCGACCUCGUCAGCUCCCCCGACGUCGUCAAGCAGAUCACCUCGAUCACCAUUGAGCCCGGCGUCGAGGUCGAAGUGACCAUCAGCGACCAGUAGUUAUGCUACCCCAUGAUAUGUGCCUUUAAAUCUUUUUACAAGGGUGGAGAGACACCAGCGUACCAAGAUAUUUUGAAACUUUCUGUAGUAUGAGAACUGGGUUUUGUAUGACUAGGUUCUUUGCUUCGUGAUUCUAAGUGCCUACUGUCCUAAAUUAUCUGUCAAUUUUCGUUCGUUGCCCUGUUGUGUGUGCCGGGUUGAAUGUUUAUACAUGGAUCGCUAUUUAUCUAUGAGAUUUGGUAACGUUUCCUUGAUAUCUUCAGUGAUUUGUGUUUGACAGUGUGGAAGAUUUUCUGAACUGUAUUACAUUGAAAUAUACAAAACAGC
rnacentral:lncRNA from 1 species